AAGUCGCUCCUGGCUAAAGCUGGCGUCAGUCCCUAGUCGCAUUUUUAACAAGGUCUCAGAAAGCUUGGAUACGGUAGCUUUUUUAGAGUAAGCAAGCCACUAAGUUUAAGUUAAGUUUAAGUUCUGUGGAUGGCCAACUUCAAGGAUGCCAUGAAUCUUCAUCUCUUUGAGUCUGCUUGGUAAUGUCGAUUCUGAGAUAAUGGACGUUGAUUUACUUCAGGUCAUUGGAACCGCUGCCAUUUAAGUAAAGUAUUUGGAAUUUGUGCUACCUUCAAGUUUUCAACUGAAGGGUGUAGUAUUAAUUGUAUCCCCAAGGCGAAUGGGAUGUAUUUAUAUAUUGUUUCAAUUGUUUUCCUAUGAUCUGUUAGCCUCGGUAGUUCGUUGACCCUAGCCCUUUGUCGUGGAUUAGACGAUGAUAUUUGGCCAUAGUUAUCCUUUCUCAAGGAAUGUGUAGGGUAAAACUACCUUGGCCUGAAAAGUAAAACAAAAAGGUUGUUUUGAACCUUAUUGAACGUAAUUCUUGGAACAUUAAAGAUGGAAUGGACGGUUGGGCAAUUCUUGUAUAUGUACAAUUCAGGCGUUGCGUCCUUGUGGGAAGAUUAUUCAAGGAACAGGAAGUUUGGUCGUGUUUGCUGUCUUUGAAAAAUGAGGAAGCAUGUUAAAGACCAAAAAGGCUCGUUUUCCUUUACUGGUAAGCCUCUAAAUCCCCAAUGGCAAGGUCAAAGCUCUGUACUUCAGCUUCUCAUCAACACACGUAUAUGACCUCGCACGACAUGACUUCAUAGCCGUCUGCUAACUACGCCGUAAAUAUUAAUGAUGCACCAACUUGGAUAGAAAUGUAACACAGUUUCCUGGUAACGGGAAAGUUUGUAAGAUAUCCACCAACUUACACACUUUAAAACUGGUUGGCCUUGUGUUUUGCUUACGUCCACCUAUCGUAGCCGGGAGGUAGAAUAAAGAAUCAGUGGCCACGCGCUUUGUUGGAAUUCGUGAAGGACGAUCGUAAAAUUUGAAACUAAAGCAAAAUAAUCGCGUGGACGUCAUGUUUAUACCAAGGAACGGAAACACACUGAAACAUGACGAUCCAAAUUAUGCCAGCUUAGGCAUAAUCUCAAAUCUUUGUUAGGAAAAGAAAGUUACUGUCCUUACUAUUUUUAUUGAAGAAUUCCUAUUUUUGUGAAUGCUUGCUUGAUAUGUAAUAUUCCAAACUUCUGUUGACAGGGACAAACUAUCGCAACAUGGUUAGUUGGUGACGAGACCGCGACUGCUUCUCUAUGCAGCCUGCGCAGUAAACCGCGGGUAAAUCCAGUGAAGCGUGGUCAUACGGCGGGGUGGAGACCGUGGGAGGAGAAAAUUAGGCGAUAGAUUGCUAACUCCAUGAACCUCCUUUAUUCCUUUACGACAGAGCACCUUGGUCGUGAAGGACUAGUUUUUGGUUGUUUUCCAACUCACUAACCAGAGAAUCACCGUAAAAAAACCUUGUACCAUUUCUGACAGAAAACCGAACUUGAUUGAAAACGAGCGAGUAGCCUCCAGCUUUUAAUAACGUAAUUUCUCUCACUAUCGUAUAUCAUUGACAGAGCCCUGGCUGAUGGUGUAAAGUGUUGAGUAAAAUGUUGAUACACAGCAUGUAUUAUAAUAAAGGCAGUGUAAUCUAAAAUAGGGUGGUCAUAGCCUGACAUAAAUACACAAUCAAUUCUUCUGCA